UACGGAGGGUGCGAGCGUUAAUCGGAAUUAUUGGGCGUAAAGCGCGCGCAGGCGGUUUCUUAAGUCUGAUGUGAAAGCCCACGGCUCAACCGUGGAGGGUCAUUGGAAACUGGGGAACUUGAGUGCAGAAGAGAAAAGCGGAAUUCCACGUGUAGCGGUGAAAUGCGUAGAGAUGUGGAGGAACACCAGUGGCGAAGGCGGCUUUUUGGUCUGUAACUGACGCUGAGGCACGAAAGCGUGGGGAGCAAACAGG
rnacentral:rRNA from 1 species